GACAUUCUUCUCAUAGAUCCAAAUCAGAGCUGGAGUCUCUCAGAUCUCCUUUUGGUUAUCAACAUAGGUACCAAAGUAGCCAUGCUGAUUUAAGCCCAGUUUCCCUCGCAUGUUCUCAGCUGCAGAAUUACGAUCCUGACAGAGCUUUAACAGAUUAUAUUAAACGUCUGGAAGCUCUACAGAGGCGACUCGGCAGUGUACAGUCAGCAUCUUCUUCACAUACUCAACUGCAUUCUGGUAUCAGAAGAUAAUCUUUGCAACAUUUCACCACUGGUAGUGACAUCGAAUGAAAUGCCUUUUGCAAAUCUGUGCUGCUGCUGCUGUUGCUGUGCUUUUGUAUAAUGUGUAUAUUGUGGGACCAACAUGAACACAGCUCAACGAUUGUAUGCAGUUCACCUUGCUGGCACCUCUACAAAGACUGGAACUGAUGUAUAUAGGCACUUUUUGUGAUCAUUCAAAACUGAUCAUUAAAUUUCAUGUAUAUUUGUGGAAUUCUAAUUUAAACAAUUAAAUUAUUAAAGUGUGUAUUUAUCACAUGAGUGCGAGGAUGAAACCUUUUAUGUAUUGAGAUUGCAGAAUGCGUAUUUCCAAGUGCACAACAUUUUCUGAGAGAUAAGUGAAUGACUUUUCAUGAUUUUAUUCUAUUUGCUACUGGCACUGCAGAGAGAAAUAUCACUUGUAGAGACCUAUUUUUGUAAAGGUAGAAGUUUUGAAUUUUAUGGGUAUUUUGUCAAAAGUACUGAAAUAAAGAUGCUUUCAUCCUUUUAAAAACUAGA